UACGUAGGGUGCGAGCGUUGUCCGGAAUUAUUGGGCGUAAAGAGCUCGUAGGCGGUCCGUCACGUCGGGUGUGAAAAUCAGGCUCAACUCUGGACCUGCACCCGAUACGGGCGGACCUAGAGUUCGGGUAGGGGAGACUGGAAUUCCGUGGUGUAGGUGGUGAAAUGCGCAGAUAUCAGGAGGAACAGCCGGUGGCGAAGGCGGGUCUCUGGGCCGAUGACUGACGCUGAGGAGCGAAGCGUGGGGAGCAAACAGG
rnacentral:rRNA from 1 species